AAUAGAGAAACCGAGUCCAAGCGAGGGGGAGAGACGCGUCCAGAUCUCUGGGCUCUGGGUCCAGCCCCGGCUUUCUGCCAGGAUGUGGGUGCUGGAGGGAGGCGGUUGUCUUUCGUCUCCCUCCUCUCCUCACCCCUAAGCAGGCGCGGAGGCCCGGCAGGGCAGGUUCCCGCGAGGAGUAAGUGAUGAGGUGGAGAAGAGGAGGCGUCAGCUGCCCAGGGCCCUGCGUCUGCCUCUGCUAAAUACCUCUGAGAAACUCGGCUUCCAGCUGAAGGGGACCCGUGUGGCCCCAAGAACCCCCUGGAGUCCCUGGGUGAGAUGGACUGGACCAAUCACAGCUUUCGGGACUUGGGAGCCGGCCGUGCCUCCCUGGAGAGCCUCAUCCGGGUGCUCCCAGCAGGAAACAGCACCACCCUGAAGCCAGAGAUGAGGACUUUCCCUGCCAAGCUGAGCCUGUGUACUGCAACGUGAUCAGCCUGGCCCCCUGGAAGGAGGAUGACUUUGCCAUCUAUGCCAACGUGCCCCGUUUUGGUUGCCCCAGGAGGACAAUGCCAGACCAAGUGGAAUAUGCCUCUAUUGUGUUCCGCUGAUGGGGCCUCGGCGUGUGGAGUGGCAGGGACAUAUGGGGUCCAGACACCACUCUCGCUGUCAUCUCUGUGUACACAUGUGUGCUUUUAAAUAAUAAAACACAAAACAUAUGUGGG
rnacentral:lncRNA from 1 species